AGAUUGAACGCUGGCGGCAUGCCUUACACAUGCAAGUCGAACGGUAGAGUAGCAAUACUCGAGAGUGGCGAACGGGUGAGUAAUAUAUCGGAACGUGCCCAGUCGUGGGGGAUAACGUAGAGAAAUUUACGCUAAUACCGCAUACGAUCUACGGAUGAAAGCGGGGGAUUCGCAAGAACCUCGCGCGAUUGGAGCGGCUGAUAUCAGAUUAGGUUGUUGGUGAGGUAAAAGCUCACCAAGCCGACGAUCUGUAGCUGGUUUGAGAGAACGACCAGCCACACUGGGACUGAGACACGGCCCAGACUCCGUACGGGAGCAGCACGGUGGGGAAUUUUGGACAAGUGGGACGAAAG
rnacentral:rRNA from 1 species